rnacentral:other from 1 species
AUUUCAACACAUCUCAUGUUAAGGUUCAAC